UUGAUUUCUAACAGGGAUCAAACAUUUUGGGCAGGCCACCCCUUUGCUUCUUACUGUAGCUGUUAUCGAACUCAGUGACAUUGCAUUUGCAGUUGACUCAAUACCGGCAGUUUUUGGUGUAACACGGGAUCCAUUUGUAGUCCUUACAUCUAAUCUUUUUGCCAUUUUGGGUUUAAGGUCACUUUACCUGAUAAUUUCUGAGGGUAUGUCAGAGUUGAAGUACUUGCAGGUAAAUGUUGACUUGGCCUGUUUUGAUAUACCUUGGUUGCUGCAUAAUUGUUUUCUGUUUACAUAAUUACAUGUCUAUCCUUCAGCAUAACCAUGUUUAUUACUUUUGGGACUUGAAAUAUGGUUCUGAUAUCACUUCAACAUUGUUCUUCUUGGGCUUCUUGCUUAUAUUGAAGCUUGCCACUUCAUCCUAAAUAGUGUUGAGAAAAAAGAAAAAAAAAAAAAAACUAAUGCACUUUUUUGUCGGGAGCAGAAUUAUUGCAGAAAAAUAGACAUCAUUUUGUGGUCUGAGUGGGAAACAGAAACUUUAGAAAGACAUGGCUUGAGUGUGAUCACACUGGAUUUGACUUGUAUUUGCUAAUUUAUCCUUUAAAAAAGAUAAACAAUUUUCACUUUGGUAAUAAAGGAAUGCUUUAGUGAUGUAGGACAGGAACCAAGAGUGAUACAAAAGGUCAACUAUUUACAAUAAUGAUUUCUUUGAACUCCCGACACCCUAAGAAGAUAAUCCAAAAUAGAAUAAAAUUCUAAAUAACAAAUAACAAUAAAUUAUCCCAAAUUGAAACCUUAAUUUCAUAAACGAAAAAAAAAAAAAAACUAUGCCAAUUGACAU